UGGGGAAUAUUGCACAAUGGGCGCAAGCCUGAUGCAGCCAUGCCGCGUGUGUGAAGAAGGCCUUCGGGUUGUAAAGCACUUUCAAGCGAGGAGGAAGGUGGUGAGCUUAAUACGCUCAUCAAUUGACGUUACUCGCAGAAGAAGCACCGGCUAACUCCGUGCCAGCAGCCGCGGUAAUACGGAGGGUGCAAGCGUUAAUCGGAAUUACUGGGCGUAAAGCGCACGCAGGCGGUUUGUUAAGUCAGNUGUGAAAUCCCCGGGCUCAACCUGGGAACUGCAUUUGAAACUGGCAAGCUAGAGUCUCGUAGAGGGGGGUAGAAUUCCAGGUGUAGCGGUGAAAUGCGUAGAGAUCUGGAGGAAUACCGGUGGCGAAGGNGGCCCCCUGGACGAAGACUGACGCUCAGGUGCGAAAGCGUGGGGCAGCAAACAGGAUUAGAUA
rnacentral:rRNA from 1 species